rnacentral:rRNA from 1 species
UACGUAGGGCGCAAGCGUUGUCCGGAAUUAUUGGGCGUAAAGAGCUCGUAGGCGGCUUGUUGCGUCAGCUGUGAAAACCCGCAGCUCAACUGUGGGCUUGCAGCUGAUACGGGCAGGCUUGAGUUCGGUAGGGGAGACUGGAAUUCCUGGUGUAGCGGUGAAAUGCGUAGAUAUCAAGAGGAACACCUGCGGCGAAGGCGGGUUGCUGGGCCGACACUGACGCUGAGGCGCGAAAGCUAGGGGAGCGAACGGG